rnacentral:snRNA from 1 species
CAAAAAUCUUCCCUUCUUUGACAUGUUAUAAAUGGAACAAUAAAGAAAAGAUUAGCAUGACCCUUUUAGAGGGCGACACAAAGAAAUCGAGAAAUGACCCAAUUUCUU